rnacentral:misc_RNA from 1 species
GAUCUAUUCCUGGAGGUUCGAGCAACUCCAGGGCACACAUCAGGAUGUGUCACCUACGUAACAGGGGAUGAACCUGAUCAACCUCAUCCUAGGAUGGCAUUCACUGGGGAUACUCUGUUGAUACGUGGAUGUGGGAGGACAGAUUUUCAGGGUGGAAGUUCAAAGCAGCUCUAUGAAUCUGUACACUCGCAGAUUUUCACUCUGCCAAAGGACACAUUGAUCUAUCCAGCUCAUGAUUACAAGGGAUUUAGUGUUAGUACUGUAGGUGAAGAGAUGGCAUACAAUCCCCGGCUUACCAAGGAUCUGGAAGAAUUCAAGAAAAUUAUGGAAAAUUUGAACCUGCCUUAUCCAAAGAUGAUGGACAAAGCAGUUCCAGCAAACUUGGUGUGUGGAUUGCAAGAUCCAGCUUGCUAACUCUGUCAUCCCUGUAAUUCAUUGUGUAUAAUUGGCCUUUCUUGCUAUAGAAAAACAAAAUAAAAACAAAAAUAAAACAAAGAUCAAUCAAAA